rnacentral:ncRNA from 1 species
AGAAAAGCAAAGACCGGGAAGAGUACAAAGUGAUCACUUGCCUGCAGAGAGGAAAACUCCUGGCUGAAAAGUUUUCCGCAAGAAUCUUUGGAAUGUCCCCCGUGAGCUGCUUCUGCGAACUUAUCAGUAGUGGAAGCCGGUCGCCAGCCGUUAAUGGAUUGAGAGCCGGACCAGUCUGUCUAUGUACAGCUGUCCGUGAAAAAAGGUGGUACCGCGAACAACUCCUUCGUCCUUUUG